UAAUACGUAGGGGGCAAGCGUUGUCCGGAUUUAUUGGGCGUAAAGAGCGUGUAGGCGGCCAGACAGGUCCGUUGUGAAAACUAGAGGCUUAACCUCUAGACGUCGAUGGAAACCGUCUGGCUAGAGUCCGGAAGAGGAGAAUGGAAUUCCUGGUGUAGCGGUGAAAUGCGCAGAUAUCAGGAAGAACACCCGUGGCUAAGGCGGUUCUCUAGUACGGUACUGACGCUGAGACGCGAAAGCGUGGGGAGCGAACAGGAUUAGAUACCCUGGUAGUCCACGCCGUAAACGGUGGGUACUAGGUGUGGGUUUCCUUCCUUGGGAUCCGUGCCGUAGCUAACGCAUUAAGUACCCCGCCUGGGGAGUACGGCCGCAAGGCUA
rnacentral:rRNA from 1 species